CGCCCGCGUCCAGCUCUUCGGCCGCAGACCCGGGCUGUCUGGAGGCCGCGCGGCCACCUGCUGCGUCGCCCCGGCUUUGGGCUGGGGCUAGACGCGCACCGCGGCGGGAGCAGCCCCGGCUCGCCGCACCCCGCGGAAGGUGCCCUUCUCUGCGCGUCUCGCCGAGCCCGGGCCACGCUCCUGUCCCAGGUUUUAACUCCAUGAUUGUGUGCUAUGAGUAUAUGGCUGCAUGUCUCAAGAAAUUCACUGGCUUUAAAAUGUGGGCUUAGCUACUGCCAGUAUGAUUUGAUGAAAGCGGAUAGAGGUCUCAGAUCCACCCCCGGAUUCCACCGUCAGGCCCAAGGACGGACCCCUGGCCAUUGACUGAUGCCAAGUGGGUGCCUGGCAGCAGCCUUCCUUCCCAUCCCUGCUUCUGGACGCCUCAGCCCGAGCUUGACAUGAUUUCCACAAGGGUGAUGGACAUUAAGCUUCGGGAGGCUGCAGAAGGCCUUGGGGAGGACAGCACAGGAAAGAAAAAAUCUAAAUUCAAAACUUUUAAGAAGUUUUUUGG
rnacentral:lncRNA from 1 species